GGAAGAUGGAGAAUUUGAAUUCAAUGAGAGAGUUUGUAUAGCUGAAUCAGAAAACCCUAGACCGGAGAGAGAGGGAGAGAUCGGAGGGAAGUACGCUGUUACUCUCGGAAUUUAUAUCAGAUACGACGAGGCGCACAGAGUACUUAGGCCCCGUUUGGGAUUGAGGUGAUUUUAAAAAAAGCUACUGUGAAAAAAAACUGAGGGUCAUUUUUGUGUUUGGUAAACUGAAAAAAAAGGGCUUAUUUUGGAAGCUGCUGUGAGAAUAAGCUGAAAAUCAAAGGAAAAGCUAAAGCUGCUAUUUGCUGCUUUGAAAAAAAGCCAGUUUUUUCAAAGCACACGGAGCUACAAUGCUCCUUUAAUGAAAAGACACACUAUCAUCCUACUUUUUUUUCCAAAAGCACUUUCACAAAAAAGUUUACCAAACACUCUACUGGCUUUAUUUCACAGCCGCUUAUUCUCACAGCACAGCCGCUUAUUCUCACAGCAGUUUUUUUUCAAAGCACAGCAAUACCAAACCAGCCCUUAGUGAGCUCUCGGAUUCUUUCACCACGUCACUCUGUUUAUUCUGUUUUGGGGUACAAGGGAAGCUUUUAUCUUACAUUUCAUGAUUUGGCUGCAAAAACAAAACAAAACAAAAAAAAAAAAAAUUAUGAAACUUUUAAUUCUGACAUCGACUUUUCCGUAGCAUGAUAUUGUUUACUUUGGGUCCGACCACGCCCUCAUGGUUGGUUUUGUUUCUGAGAAUUCACAUGAGAAUUUCCCAAUAAGUCACCCAUCUUGGGAUUGAUCUCUCAUGAACUCGCUUAAUUUCGAAGUUCCGAUGAAACCCGAAACUAAUGAGCUGUAAAAAAAAAAAAAUUACCUUUUGUUAGGAAGAGAUAAGAAUAUAUAUAUAUAUAUAUAAGACUUACAUGAUCCACUUCCUUAAGCAAUGUGAGAUGUCACAUUCCCAGUAAUUUUAAUUAUGUGAAUAAAAUAUAUUCUAUUUUUUGUUUCCACAUAAAUAACAGACAACCCUAAGAAAAGACUUGGAGUACUUGGAUUUGACGGAGGACAUGACACAAAAC
rnacentral:lncRNA from 1 species